AGAGUUUGAUCCUGGCUCAGGACAAACGCUGGCGGCGUGCGUAACACAUGCAAGUCGAACGGCGUCAUAGGCUUCGGUCUAGGGCGCAGUGGCGGACGGGUGAGUAACACGUGGAUAACCUGCCUUCGUGUGGGGGAUAGCCUUCAGAAAUGGGGGAUAAUACCGCAUAAGGUUCGUCGCGGAGGAGACUCCGGGACGAGGCAAAGCUCUUUUUGGUGAAAGCCGGGGGGUGGCGCGCGAAGAGGGGUCCGUGGCCGAUUAGCUAGUUGGUGGGGUAAGCGCCUACCAAGGCGACGAUCGGUAGCUGGUCUGAGAGGAUGGUCAGCCACACUGGGAUUGAGAACGGCCCAGACUCCUACGGGGGGCAGCAGUGAGGGAUCUUCGGCAAUGGGGGCAACCCUGACCGAGCAACGCCGCGUGCGGGAGGACGCCUUUCGGGGUGUAAACCGCUUUUCUGGGGGACGAGGCUAAUGAGUACGGACGGUACCCCAGGAAGAAGCCUCGGCUAACUACGUGCCAGCAGCCGCGGUAAUUCU
rnacentral:rRNA from 1 species